UGGGGAAUAUUGGACAAUGGGCGAAAGCCUGAUCCAGCCAUGCCGCGUGUGUGAAGAAGGUCUUCGGAUUGUAAAGCACUUUAAGUUGGGAGGAAGGGCAGUAAGCGAAUACCUUGCUGUUUUGACGUUACCGACAGAAUAAGCACCGGCUAACUCUGUGCCAGCAGCCGCGGUAAUACAGAGGGUGCAAGCGUUAAUCGGAAUUACUGGGCGUAAAGCGCGCGUAGGUGGUUCGUUAAGUUGAAUGUGAAAGCCCCGGGCUCAACCUGGGAACUGGAUCCAAAAACGGGCAGGUAGAGUAGGGCAGAGGGUGGUGGAAUUUCCUGUGUAGCGGUGAAAUGCGUAGAUAUAGGAAGGAACACCAGUGGCGAAGGCGACCACCUGGGCUCAUACUGACACUGAGGUGCGAAAGCGUGGGGAGCAAACAGG
rnacentral:rRNA from 1 species